rnacentral:tRNA from 1 species
UCUAAUAUGGCAGAUAAGUGCGGUAGAUUUAAGCUCUACAUAUAAAGUUAAGAUAAACUUUUAUUAGAA